rnacentral:rRNA from 1 species
GUAAGGGAUAUUGGGCAAUGGGCGAAAGCCUGACCCAGCAACGCCGCGUGGAGGAUGACGGCCUUCGGGUUGUAAACUCCUUUUGUCGGGGACGAGACAAGGACGGUACCCGGCGAAGAAGUCACGGCUAACUACGUGCCAGCAGCCGCGGUAAAACGUAGGUGGCGAGCGUUAUCCGGAUUUACUGGGCGUAAAGCGUGUGCAGGCGGACGGGCAAGUGGUGUAUGAAAGCUCCAGGCUUAACCUGGAGAGGUUAUGCCAGACUGCACGUCUUGAGGCAGAGAGAGGGACAUGGAAUUCCGGGUGUAGUGGUGAAAUGCGUAGAGAUCCGGAGGAACUCCAGAGGCGAAGGCGGUGUCCUGGCUCUGACCUGACGCUCAGACACGAAAGCAUGGGGAGCGAACGGGAUUAGAAACCCCAGUAGUCC